CCUACGGGUGGCGCAGCAGUGAGGAAUAUUGGUCAAUGGGCGGAAGCCUGAACCAGCCAAGUCGCGUGAGGGAUUAAGGCCCUGCGGGUCGUAAACCUCUUUUGCCGGGGAGCAGAGGUCCGGACGUGGCCGGGCCGGGAGAGCACCCGGAGAAAAAGCAUCGGCUAACUCCGUGCCAGCAGCCGCGGUAAUACGGAGGAUGGGAGCGUUAUCCGGAUUUAUUGGGUUUAAGGGGUGCGUAGGGGGGCAUUUAAGCCGGCGGUCAAAUGUCGGGGCUCAACCCCGGCCUGCCGUCGGAACUGGGUGCCUGGAGUGGGCGAGAAGUAUGCGGAAUGCGUGGUGUAGCGGUGAAAUGCAUAGAUAUCACGCAGAACCCCGAUUGCGAAGGCAGCAUACCGGCGCCCUACUGACGCUGAGGCACGAAAGUGCGGGUAUCGAACAGGAUUAGAUACCCGUGUAGUC
rnacentral:rRNA from 1 species